GAUGAACGCUGGCGGCGUGCCUAAUACAUGCAAGUCGAGCGAACAGACGAGGAGCUUGCUCCUCUGACGUUAGCGGCGGACGGGUGAGUAACACGUGGAUAACCUACCUAUAAGACUGGGAUAACUUCGGGAAACCGGAGCUAAUACCGGAUAAUAUAUUGAACCGCAUGGUUCAAUAGUGAAAGACGGUUUUGCUGUCACUUAUAGAUGGAUCCGCGCCGCAUUAGCUAGUUGGUAAGGUAACAGCUUACCAAGGCAACGAUGCGUAGCCGACCUGAGAGGGUGAUCGGCCACACUGGAACUGAGACACGGUCCAGACUCCUACGGGAGGCAGCAGUAGGGAAUCUUCCGCAAUGGGCGAAAGCCUGACGGAGCAACGCCGCGUGAGUGAUGAAGGUCUUCGGAUCGUAAAACUCUGUUAUUAGGGAAGAACAAAUGUGUAGUAACUAUGCACGUCUUGACGGUACCUAAUCAGAAAGCCACGGCUAACUACGUG
rnacentral:rRNA from 1 species